GGGACUCCAUAAGUUAAACUGUAGAGUCGAGAUGGAAACAACCGGAAAGGUUACUGCAUGUCCUAAAA
rnacentral:rRNA from 1 species